UACAGAGGUGGCAAGCGUUGUUCGGAAUUACUGGGCGUAAAGGGCGCGUAGGCGGUUCGAUAAGUCCCGUGUGAAAUCCCUCGGCUCAACUGAGGAAUGGCACGGGAAACUGACGGGCUUGAGUUCGGGAGAGGGAAGCGGAAUUCCGGGUGUAGCGGUGAAAUGCGUAGAUAUCCGGAGGAACACCGGUGGCGAAGGCGGCUUCCUGGACCGACACUGACGCUGAGGCGCGAAAGUGUGGGGAGCGAACAGG
rnacentral:rRNA from 1 species